GAAGAGUGAAUGUGUCAAACGUUCUAUGUGCCAAAAAAUUGAAAAAUUGUUUUAUUUCUGAUUUAUGUUCUAUGAGCCAAAGGUCACAAUCUUGUAUGUGUUUCAAGUGUCAAUUAAAUUUUUUACUUGUACAAAAUUGCGUUCAUAGAUUGUAUUUGUUCUGUGAGACAUGCCCUUUGUUACCUGUACGUUCUAAGUGCCUUGGGCGAAUAUAAUAGUUUGACGAUUACAAUAUUAUAAUAUAGUUCGUUAUAUUUCAAAAUAACUAAUACUGGUGUUGUUGUAUUCGUUAAGUUUUCUUUUUCAUUUGUUUAAUUGUGUUAUUAUGGAUACUGAAAGUAUACAUAUUUUACGAAGUGGUAAAAAAAGAAUAAAUGAUCAGACUAAAAAAAGAAUUAGUGGAAAAUCGUAUGCGACCAGGAAAAGCAAUAAUACAAUUCAGGAAAGCGUCAACUUAGUUGUUAUAACUUUGGAAUACAUCUCGGUGACAGCAAUACAGCCUUUAUGUAUAUGUGGGAUGAAAGUAUUGCUUCUCGUGGAAGCUCAGAAAUCGCUUCUUGUCUUUUUAAAGUUAUUAACAAAAACGAAAAUACGAUAAAUCGCAAAAAACUAAUUAUAUGGUCAGACAACUGUGCUGGCCAAAAUAAAAAUAAAACGUUAGUAGUUUUGAUGUUAUAUUUAAUAAAUAUGGGGAUAUUUGAUGAGAUUAUACAAAAAUUUUUGAUAAGUGGCCACUCUCUCUUGGCUUGUGCUCGUGAUUUCGCUAUUAUCGAAAAGAGACGUAGAGUUUUUCAAAAUUUCACUCCUUCUGAUUUACAAGAAAUGGUUAGAGCAGCGAAGUUGAUAAAUCCAUUUCGAGUUAUUCCGAUGGACGAAAACAACUUUUUUUCAUUUAAAGACAUUGCUAACAAUUUUUUUAACACAACCAAGUUUCCAAUGUUCGAUGAUUAAAGUUUCAUUUUUAACUCCCAAAAAAAUCUAUUAUAAAAAAACAUUUUCAGAUGAAGAACUUUGGAAAGAUUUUAACGUUUUUAAAAGAAAUGCUACUAUAGACCAACUUAAAAAUCAGACAUUUAUACCUAUACCGAAACCCACAUUGUCGUCAGAGAAGAAAAAAGAUUUGUUGGCCAUGAUUCCUUUUUUACCUGAUAAGCACAGAAACUUCUAUAAAAAUAUAACGUCAUGAAUUAAUUUUUUUUGCUAUUUAUUAUGAUGUUGCUAUGUUCUAAUUAUGUUUAAUCUAAAUUUUUUUUUUAAUUAUUAUUAGGUUUGUUAAUUUAUUUUUCAAUUUGUGAUACUCAAGAAAGCUACUGUUUUCUUUUCUUGUUACAUUUUUAUAUGAAGAAAAAAUUUUAUUUUACGUUUUGAGAUUUACUGACAAUGUCAUGUUAGAUUAAGAGUAUUUUUUAUUUAAGUUUGUACAUUUAUUUUUCAAU